GGGAGGACCAUCUCCCAACCCUAAAUACUCUCUAGUGACCGAUAGUGAACCAGUACCGUGAGGGAAAGGUGAAAAGCACCCCGGGAGGGGAGUGAAAUAGAACCUGAAACCGUGUGCCUACAACAAGUUCGAGCCCGUUAAUGGGUGAGAGCGUGCCUUUUGUAGAAUGAACCGGCGAGUUACGAUAUGAUGCGAGGUUAAGUUGAAGAGACGGAGCCGUAGGGAAACCGAGUCUUAAUAGGGCGCAUUAGUAUCAUGUCGUAGACCCGAAACCAUGUGACCUACCCAUGAGCAGGUUGAAGGUGAGGUAAAACUCACUGGAGGACCGAACCAGGGCACGUUGAAAAGUGCUUGGAUGACUUGUGGGUAGCGGAGAAAUUCCAAACGAACUUGGAGAUAGCUGGUUCUCUCCGAAAUAGCUUUAGGGCUAGCGUCGAUGUUAAGUCUCUUGGAGGUAGAGCACUGUUUGGGUGAGGGGUCCAUCCCGGAUUACCAAUCUCAGAUAAACUCCGAAUGCCAACGAGAUAUAAUCGGCAGUCAGACUGCGAGUGCUAAGAUCCGUAGUCGAAAGGGAAACAGCCCAGACCACCAGCUAAGGUCCCAAAAUAUAUGUUAAGUGGAAAAGGAUGUGGGGUUGCACAGACAACUAGGAUGUUAGCUUAGAAGCAGCUAUUCAUUCAAAGAGUGCGUAAUAGCUCACUAGUCGAGUGACCCUGCGCCGAAAAUGUACCGGGGCUAAAACAUAUUACCGAAGCUGUGGAUACCUUUAUAGGUAUGGUAGGAGAGCGUUCUAUGUGCGAAGAAGGUGUACCGUGAGGAGUGCUGGAGCGCAUAGAAGUGAGAAUGCCGGUAUGAGUAGCGAAAGACAGGUGAGAAUCCUGUCCACCGUAAGACUAAGGUUUCCAGGGGAAGGCUCGUCCGCCCUGGGUUAGUCGGGACCUAAGGAGAGACCGAAAGGUGUAUCCGAUGGACAACAGGUUGAUAUUCCUGUACUAGAGUAUAUAGUGAUGGAGGGACGCAGUAGGCUAACUAAACCAGACGAUUGGAAGUGUCUGGCCAAGCAGUGAGGUGUGAUAUGAGUCAAAUGCUUAUAUCUAUAACAUUGAGCUGUGAUGGGGAGCGAAGUUUAGUAGCGAAGUUAGUGAUGUCACACUGCCGAGAAAAGCUUCUAGCGUUAAUUAUACUCUACCCGUACCGCAAACCGACACAGGUAGUCGAGGCGAGUAGCCUCAGGUGAGCGAGAGAACUCUCGUUAAGGAACUCGGCAAAAUGGCCCCGUAACUUCGGGAGAAGGGGCGCUGACUUAUGGUCAGCCGCAGUGAAUAGGCCCAAGCAACUGUUUAUCAAAAACACAGCUCUCUGCUAAAUCGUAAGAUGAUGUAUAGGGGGUGACGCCUGCCCGGUGCUGGAAGGUUAAGAGGAGUGCUUAGCAAUAGCGAAGGUAUGAAUUGAAGCCCCAGUAAACGGCGGCCGUAACUAUAACGGUCCUAAGGUAGCGAAAUUCCUUGUCGGGUAAGUUCCGACCCGCACGAAAGGCGUAAUGAUUUGGGCACUGUCUCAACGAGAGACUCGGUGAAAUUUUAGUACCUGUGAAGAUGCAGGUUACCCGCGACAGGACGGAAAGACCCCAUGGAGCUUUACUGCAGUUUGAUAUUGAGUAUCUGUACCACAUGUACAGGAUAGGUAGGAGCCUAUGACCUCGGGACGCCAGUUUCGAGUGAGGCGUUGUUGGGAUACUACCCUUGUGUUAUGGCUACUCUAACCCAGAUAGGUUAUCCCUAUCGGAGACAGUGUCUGACGGGCAGUUUGACUGGGGCGGUCGCCUCCUAAAAGGUAACGGAGGCGCCCAAAGGUUCCCUCAGAAUGGUUGGAAAUCAUUCGCAGAGUGUAAAGGUAUAAGGGAGCUUGACUGCGAGAGCUACAACUCGAGCAGGGACGAAAGUCGGGCUUAGUGAUCCGGUGGUUCCGCAUGGAAGGGCCAUCGCUCAACGGAUAAAAGCUACCCUGGGGAUAACAGGCUUAUCUCCCCCAAGAGUUCACAUCGACGGGGAGGUUUGGCACCUC
rnacentral:rRNA from 1 species